GCACAAGCGGUGGAGCAUGUGGUUUAAUUCGAUGCAACGCGAAGAACCUUACCUGGGCUUGACAUCCCUGGAAUCCCCUGGAAACAGGGGAGUGCCCUUCGGGAGCCAGGAGACAGGUGCUGCAUGGCUGUCGUCAGCUCGUGUCGUGAGAUGUUCGGUUAAGUCCGCUAACGAGCGCAACCCUCGUCGUAUGUUAUAUGUGUCAUACGAGACUGCCGGUAAAAAGCCGGAGGAAGGUGAGGAUGAUGUCAAGUCAGCAUGACCUUUAUAUCCAGGGCUACACACACGCUACAAUGGUCUGUACAAUGGGUAGCCAAGCCGCGAGGCGGAGCCAAUCCUGAAAGCAGGCCUCAGUUCAGAUUGCAGUCUGCAACUCGACUGCAUGAAGCCGGAGUUGCUAGUAACCGCAGGUCAGCAAUACUGCGGUGAAUACGUCCCCGGGUCUU
rnacentral:rRNA from 1 species